rnacentral:rRNA from 1 species
UACGUAGGGCGCAAGCGUUGUCCGGAAUUAUUGGGCGUAAAGAGCGUGUAGGCGGCCAGAUAAGUCCGCUGUGAAAUCUCGAGGCUCAACUUCGAGCUGUCGGUGGAAACUAUCUGGCUAGAGUCCGGAAGAGGAGAAUGGAAUUCCUGGUGUAGCGGUGAAAUGCGCAGAUAUCAGGAAGAACACCCGUGGCGAAGGCGGUUCUCUGGGACGGUACUGACGCUGAGACGCGAAAGCGUGGGGAGCGAACAGG